AUUGAACGCUGGCGUCAGGCCUAACACAUGCAAGUCGAACGAGUGGCGGACGGGUGAGUAAUGUCUGGGAAACUGCCCGAUGGAGGGGGAUAACUACUGGAAACGGUAGCUAAUACCGCAUACCCUCGGAUGUGCCCAGAUGGGAUUAGCUUGUAGGUGAGGUAACGGCUCACCUAGGCGACGCUCCCUAGCUGGUCUGAGAGGAUGACCAGCCACACUGGAACUGAGACACGGUCCGGAGGCGUACGGUAGGAAGCAGUGGGGAAUAUUGCACAAGGGGCGCAAGCCUGAUGCAGCCAUGCCGCGGGUAGGAAGAAGGCCUUCGGGGUGUAAAGUACUUUCAGCGGGGAGGCGUUACCCGAAGAAGAAGUACCGGCGAACUCCGUGCCAGCAGCAGCGGUAAUAC
rnacentral:rRNA from 1 species